GCAAGGUGAUGGGUUUAUGGCACGUCCUCCUCUGUGGGCCUCAUAGUGUGCGCUCGCCAGAGAAAAUUGCAGCCCCGGGCCAUUGCCCAGUCUCCGUACCUGUGGGCUGUGAGCGCUGAAAGGGGUUGUACGGUG